GGUACUUCAUCUGAAUCUUUCCCUAAUUCAAUGAUCCAUUUGUAAAUCCAAGGAACAGAAAAAUCCAUAAAAAAAUUCAUAAUCGGAGUCUUUGGGUAUAAUCUGUCCUCUUUGUCAAAAUCCAUAAUCCUUGGCGAAAUCUCUACCCAUUGAUGAUAUAACUCUUCAAACUGUACUGGUAGUAUUCCUUGGGAAGGCCCGAAAAAGGACCACCAUUUAAUGAACCAACUUGGAAUCUGGGUACUUUUAAAAACUUGAGCACAAAUUUUUAUAAACCAAAAGUGCUUAUAUCAUUUUCAUAAAAUAAAGUCUUUGAAAAUCCAAUUCAAAAGAUUGCCAGUAUAUACAUCCAAUUCAAAAGAUAUCAAUUAAUUAUAAUUAUUGGGAUUAUGUGGAGGCAUUUUCAAAGACUUUAUUUUAUGAAAAU
rnacentral:lncRNA from 1 species